rnacentral:rRNA from 1 species
AACCUCCGCAAUGUGAGAAAUCGCGACGGGGGGAUCCCAAGUGCCAUUCUUAACGGGAUGGCUUUUCAUUAGUGUAAAAAGCUUUUGGAAUAAGAGCUGGGCAAGACCGGUGCCAGCCGCCGCGGUAACACCGGCAGCUCUAGUGGUAGCAAUUUUUAUUGGGCCUAAAGCGUCCGUAGCCGGUUUAAUAAGUCUCUGGUGAAAUCCUGUAGCUUAACUGUGGGAAUUGCUGGAGAUACUAUUAGACUUGAGACCGGGAGAGGUUAGAGGUACUCCCAGGGUAGAGGUGAAAUUCUGUAAUCCUGGGAGGACCGCCUGUUGCGAAGGCGUCUAACUGGAACGGUUCUGACGGUGAGGGACGAAAGUUAGGGGCGCGAACCGGAUUAGAUACCCGGGUAGUCCUAACCGUAAACGAUGCGGACUUGGUGUUGGGGUGGCUUUGAGCUGCUCCAGUGCCGAAGGGAAGCUGUUAAGUCCGCCGCCUGGGAAGUACGGUCGCAAGACUGAAACUUAAAGGAAUU